rnacentral:rRNA from 1 species
UACGUAGGGUGCAAGCGUUGUCCGGAAUUAUUGGGCGUAAAGAGCUCGUAGGCGGUCUGUUGCGUCGGCUGUGAAAACCCGGGGCUCAACCCCGGGCCUGCAGCCGAUACGGGCAGACUAGAGUUCGGCAGGGGAGACUGGAAUUCCUGGUGUAGCGGUGAAAUGCGCAGAUAUCAGGAGGAACACCUGAGGCGAAGGCGGGCUACUGGGCCGAUACUGACGCUGAUGCGCGAAAGCCAGGGGAGCGAACGGG